rnacentral:rRNA from 1 species
CCUACGGGAGGCAGCAGUGAGGAAUAUUGGUCAAUGGGCGUAAGCCUGAACCAGCCAAGUCGCGUGAGGGAUGAAGGUUCUAUGGAUCGUAAACCUCUUUUAUAAGGGAAUAAAGUGCGGGACGUGUCCCGUUUUGUAUGUACCUUAUGAAUAAGGAUCGGCUAACUCCGUGCCAGCAGCCGCGGUAAUACGGAGGAUCCGAGCGUUAUCGGGAUUUAUUGGGUUUAAAGGGUGCGUAGGCGGCCUUUUAAGUCAGCGGGGAAAGUCUGUGGCUAAACCAUAGAAUUGCCGUUGAAACUGGGAGGCUUGAGUAUGUUUGAGGCAGGCGGAAUGCGUGGUGUAGCGGUGAUAUGCUUAGAUAUCACGCAGAACCCCGAUUGCGAAGGCAGCCUGCCAAGCCAUGACUGACGCUGAUGCACGAAAGCGUGGGGAUCAAACAGGAUUAGAUACCCGAGUAGUC